rnacentral:lncRNA from 1 species
AGCACGCCACUGCUGACCGAGCAGCCUUAGACGUCACUCCUGGGUUACCUGUGGCAGGUGUCUAUGAUAAGGAGAGCACAGUGAAACAGACAGGCUUCGAGGGAGGUUCCCAGCUUGCUUCCCCAGGGUUCUAACGCACUUCUCUGCCUCUCUGUGAGGGAGUACACUUUGCUGCUUUUCCUCAUUCGCCCUACCCACUCUUUGGCCUCUCAUCUCCACUGUGGGGUUUCUUCCCAGGCACACUUCUGUUACUGCCUUCUCUGUUUCCGUUUCUGUGUCGAUUUACUCCUCUGUAUCCCUCUGUGUCUGUGAUCCAAAGAGAGAGGAAGGUCAGUGGGUGUGGCACUCACUGGCCAAUGUCGGAGCACCCAGAGGGCCUUGGGCAUGGAUCUCUCGUUCAAUCACUUGUGGCCCGAGUGACAGGAUCAUAGGACAGACAGUACCCAGAGUCCCCCGGUGCAUAGUUGUGUAUUCUAGUUGUGAGUGCCUCUGGUUGUGCUGUGUGGGAUGCUGCCUCAGCAUGGCCUGAUGAGUGGUGCCGUGUCCGCGCCGAGGAUCCGAACCAGCGAAACCCUGGGCCGCCAAAGUGGAGCGCACGAACUUAACCACUCGGCCACGGGGCCAGUCCUGAGAUCUUUUAUAAUGAAUAAAG